rnacentral:tRNA from 1 species
GCUGUAAUGGUGUAAUGGUAACAUUUCAGUUUGUGGCACUGACGCUCGAGGUUCGAUUCCUCGUUACAGCA